GACGAACGCUGGCGGCGUGCUUAACACAUGCAAGUCGAACGGGUCUGCCCUGUUUUUUGCGGGGUGGGUCAGUGGCGAACGGGUGAGUAACACGUGAGUAACCUGCCCCUCACUUCUGGAUAACCGCUUGAAAGGGUGGCUAAUACGGGGUGUUCUGGCUGUGCCGCAUGGUGUGGCUGGGAAAGAUUCACUUUUGUGGUGUUUUGGUGGGGGAUGGGCUCGCGGCCUAUCAGCUUGUUGGGGGGGUGAUGGCCUGCCAAGGCUUUGACGGGUAGCCGGCCUGAGAGGGUGGGCGGUCACACUGGGACUGAGAUACGGCCCAGACUCCUGCGGGAGGCAGCAGUGGGGGGUAUUGCACAAUGGGCGGAAGCCUGAUGCAGCGACGUCGCGUGAGGGAUGGAGGCCUUCGGGUUGUGAACCUCUUUCGCCGGUGAAGAAGGUCCUGCUCUGUGUGGUGGGGUUGACGGUAGCCGGGUUAUGAAGCGCCGGCUAACUACGU
rnacentral:rRNA from 1 species